AGGAUGGAGUAUAACAGAGGGAAGAGAGCAUGGCUGGAGGAAGAUAAUAAGGAAUGGAGGUGGUUCUAAUGAUGGAGGAUGGAGUAUAACAGAGGGGAGAGAGCAUGACUGGAGGAAGAUAAUGCGGAAUGGAGGUGGUUAUAAGGAUGGAGUAUAACAGAGGGCAGAGAGCAUGGCUGGAGGAAGAUAAAAAGGAAUGGAGGUGGUUCUAAUGAUGGAGGAUGGAGUAUAAUAGAGGGGAGGGAGCAUGGCUGGAGGAAGAUAAUAAGAAAUGGAGGUGGUUCUAAUGAUGGAGGAUGGAGUAUAACAGAGGGGAGAGAGCAUGGCUGGAAGAAGAGAAUGAGGAAUGGAGGUGGUUCUAAGCAUGGAGUAUAACAGAGGGAAGAGAGCAUGGCUGGAAGAAGAUAAUGAGGAAUGGGAGUGGUUCUAAGGAUGGAGUAUAACAGAGGGAAGAGAGCAUGGCUGGAGGAAGAUAAUGAGGAAUGGAGGUGGUUCUAAGGAUGGAGUAUAACAGAGGGAAGAGAGCAUGGCUGAAGGAAGAUAAUGAGGAAUAUUCGACUUAAUCCGUUUGUUUGUCCUUGUUUGUCCCCUCUGUGUGUAGCCCCCUCUGGGCAGUAAAGAAAUAAGACAGACAGACAGACAAAUAGACAGGCAGGCAGAUAGAUGGGGUGCACUCUGUCUCCAACAAUUCGGUGCGACAUCAGUGCAGAAUCACUUCCCUCCUACAAGUCAUCCUAACGAGACGUCUGCGUUGGCUGGGGUCAUGCCCUCCGCCGUCAACCAGGAGAAUACAUCUAAAGUAAUUGCCCCAGCUCCCCUUCAGUGUUGGCGAAAGCGAUGGGGUGCACUCUGUCUCCAACAAUUCCGUGCGACA